rnacentral:rRNA from 1 species
GGGGAAUCUUGGACAAUGGGCGCAAGCCUGAUCCAGCCAUGCCGCGUGAGUGAAGAAGGCCUUAGGGUUGUAAAGCUCUUUCACCAGGGACGAUAAUGACGGUACCUGGAGAAUAAGCCCCGGCAAACUUCGUGCCAGCAGCCGCGGUAAUACGAAGGGGGCUAGCGUUGUUCGGAAUUACUGGGCGUAAAGCGCACGUAGGCGGGUCGUUAAGUCAGGGGUGAAAUCCCGGAGCUCAACUCCGGAACUGCCUUUGAUACUGGCGAUCUAGAGAUCGAGAGAGGCGAGUGGAAUUCCGAGUGUAGAGGUGAAAUUCGUAGAUAUUCGGAAGAACACCAGUGGCGAAGGCGGCUCACUGGCUCGAUACUGACGCUGAGGUGCGAAAGCGUGGGGAGCAAAC